rnacentral:lncRNA from 1 species
CUCCUACCACAUGGCAAAAUAUGAAAAUUUUUUGAUUUAAGUUAGGAUGCCAAAAGAUUUCUUCCGUGGGCGUGCGCAUGAGAAGGCUAUGAGAUGGUGUUUCAUUCCUAAGAGUUCUUAUCAUAUAAGACUCUUGGUUUUGACAAACCUUUUCAUGUGGUGGUUACAAGUCACCAUGAGAUGCUUUUCACGCCCCAUCUACAACUAUAAAUAGGGGGCGGCAUUGAGGGG